GUCGCCGCCACACUGAUCCAAACCACGCGGCGCCUCCACUUUUGUUUACAAACCAUGGAUCUUAGGGUUGUGCGCAGGCGUCGGAGUUUGAAGGCAGCGUCUCUUUGGCGCCAUGCUUUAAGAACACCUUUGUCAACUGAUACGGGGAUUUUAAGUAUCAUAAGUUCCUUUUCGAGGGACUUCAAGACGACCAGAUUCAAUGUAAGUUAUUUUAUUAACAUAGAAAAUCCAAAAGAGGAUUAUUGGGACAUUCUUGUUACAAGAUUUCGAAUAAUUGGCAAACGUGUGAACUCGAAUGUCGACGCGUUAGACGCGUUGAAAUUUCGUCGGCAUGCAGAUAUGUAGCCGAUAAAUAAUGCAUCGUACAUAUAGUUUUCGUAUACAGGCGGCGUUUGCCAUUCGCAUUGAUAAAUAAUUUCAAGCACGACACGGUAAACGCUGGCCACGUGUGUUAAGUACACAAUCUUCUCAAGGAUGCAGGACACAGAAGGCAGGGAUUCUACGUUAGAAUGGCGAUGAACUUCGCACGGAUUAGUCAAGAUUUGAAAGAAAUCCAAGAAAAGCGUCGACACGAUAAACAAUCCAUCUUCCACACUUUUUGUGUUCAGAUUCUUUACGUGUAUCUUUGCUCUUCUCGAUUGUUCAGCUCAUCCAAUUCAAGCGUCCGUACCUGAUUUUCCACGUGUACCGUCGACGUGUCGCUUCGUCAGCUUACGCCGGAAGAAAAUGCUAAAGAGAAGAAAAAUAUCAAUAGAAAGCAGGUCGUAUGCAUUUGUGUCGCUGCAUGGAGGUCACCACGAGUUCAUUGAAUUAUCUCGAGGUGAACGAACUAUUAUGUGGCUGCGAGACGACCAAUAAUUGAUGUCUUUUUUAUCCAAUUUACUACUGCUGUCUUAAACUAGGGUAAACAAUAUCAUACUACAUAUCUAUGAAAGACAUCGAAUUUUUU